AAUCAUUGACGUUUUUUGUUUUAUGGCUGUCGACAGCCAAAUUUUAUUUCAAAACAUUUACAAAACGCAGCUAGUGUUGAUAUUUAUGCGCGACAGUGAUUUAUGCGUGGUACUGUCACGCACGGCAUGCUUAUGGAUAAAAGUGCAACAUUCGACACAGUCUGCAAUGAUGCGAGGACCCACAGCAAUUUUGGACCAGUUUUAGGAUCCUUGGGAGGCUCUGCUUAGAUGGACAAAUGUGCACGAGGACAUGCAGUAAAGCAACAGUGCAGAUGAAGUAUUGCUCUCCAGGUCCCUUGCCAGACGCGAAUUCACCGGGAAGUGCGUGGAUGUCGACAUCCAUGAUUGUCCUUGCCAUCGUGGUGAUGAUUAACUUGUUAUGCAUUUAGUAGUCGCUAAUGCUAUCCAUGCUGGCUCUUUUGCAAUUUCUGUCCUCUUGUCAGUUUUCCGUUUAUGCUUCUAGCGGAUUAUCCAAAUCGAUUUUUUUUCUUAACUAUGUUGGUGUUUUCAUGAGAAAGUAUGUCUCGGAUGUUGGAUUUUUUGUGUAAAACUAGUUAUGUGAAAC